rnacentral:rRNA from 1 species
CGCGCAGGUGGUUUCUUAAGUCUGAUGUGAAAGCCCACGGCUCAACCGUGGAGGGUCAUUGGAAACUGGGAGACUUGAGUGCAGAAGAGGAUAGUGGAAUUCCAAGUGUAGCGGUGAAAUGCGUAGAGAUUUGGAGGAACACCAGUGGCGAAGGCGACUGUCUGGUCUGUAACUGACACUGAGGCGCGAAAGCGUGGGGAGCAAGCA